rnacentral:misc_RNA from 1 species
ACGCGAACUGGCGCCGUUUGAGGACAUCGGACUUUGACCUGCAUGCCUUUAGUGAGCAUCUUUGGCUUGCGCCUUCUCCUCAGCGCUUCACUCUGCUUGCGCAGGCAGACGACACGGAGGCGAACGCACAAGCAGGCGACACUCUUCUUUCUCCUUCGCUCACAACAAGCACGUUCCCGUGCGGGCAAGGAGCUUCACUAAGGGAUUCCCGGAGCAGCAGUGGUUCUACCUUCCUUGCCCCUCCCCUGAUACAACCUAGAAAAUCACAUGAAAAUCUUCUCGACGCUUGGUAGACCCGGUACUCUGGCAACCACCAAGCCUAAGAAGGGUGAGGUGGUCUUGGCGUCGCCCGAGGCGACUGUGAGCAAGUACAAGGGGGCUAUUAAGCAGCACAAGAAGGCGCUGAAGGAGCUGCACGCGUGCACCGAGCGCUUCACGCGCGCAUUGGCCGCCGUCGCCGCCUCCCUGCAGUUCUUGACCUCUGAUACCCAUAUUCCCGUCAUGGUCCAGUCCAGCGGCGCCCUCGCGAGUGGCAUCGAGGAGGUGCAGGAUGGUGUCCUUCUGCAGGACUUGAUGGAGGAGCUGGACUACUCGCUCUCCACCCGCUUCAAGCAGAUAGCAGAGGACCAGCGUGAGUUGAAAGAAAGUCGCGAGCGCAAAUCCAAGGCGGAGAAGACGCUGAUGCUGUUGAGGAGUCAGUGCGACAAGCUCCAGCUCAAGAAGGACGUGGAUGCCAAGAUGCAGGCGCUCUAUCUGACCAAGACGCAGAAGCGGGACGAACACGAGGUCGAGUGCACACGGCUGAGGGCCGAGUUCGAGGACGCUUUUCACGACUUCACGACGCGCUUCGGCAUCCUUGUAUACGAGGAUAUGAAGGGGCUGAUGGAGCACCUCCACCGGGUACUCUCCGCGCUGUCUUACCAAGUUCGCAAGUGCAAGGACAAUAUCCUUGCCCACCCCAUCACCCCCAAGCCGAUCGCGGAGAUGUCCUGAGGAGAAGGGGGGAAGAUGAUGUCAGUGGAGCGCCUCGAAUGGCUUCCUCCACCACUCCUGCUCUCUUUAUCGCGUGGGCGUGCCUUAUUUAUGGUGCAGAGUCUGCUCUGAUGACAGGAGGGGGGGAGGGGUAGCACACAACCAAAGAACAGUGCAUACACACACACACAGAACGCAUAUAUAUAUAUGUGUGUGUGUGUGUGCGUGUACAUAUAUGCACAUACGUACACGAAAGACGGAGCGACAGGCGAGACGGGUGUGCGUGCAUGUGCGUAUGUGCAUGUGUCCGUACGCCCGUGCGCAUGUGUGCGUGCGCUAUUCUAUCGGAGGGGAGUGGGGUGGGAGGAGGGGGAAGAGGGAGGGGGUUCGCAUGCCAUUGCAGUAAAGGACAUCAUCCAUUUGAUGGAAAAGGAAGCAGGAGAGAGGCAGAAAGCACGUGUGUGUGUGCGUGUCGGUGUGUGUGUGUGUGUAAGGGGGCACAUCAGGCGUACAUGUUGAACAGCAGAAGAAGCCACACGAAAACACAAAAUAUGGCGAGCCGCAAACGAAAGGAGAAGUACGCCGCUUCCCCUCCACCUCCUCACCCCCCUUCACCCCUUGCCGGAGAGCAUCUGCAGCAUAGAGCG